rnacentral:tRNA from 1 species
GCCUUCGUGGGGUAGUGGUUAGCACGCUCGACGGGUAUUUGAGAGGUCCGUGGUUCGAAUCCUGGUGAGGGCA